AUCUCGUGGUAGAAGUAUCAAAGCUCUGGCGGUACAGGAUGGACCCGCGUCUGAUUAGCUAGUUGGUAAGGUAACGGCUUACCAAGGCGACGAUCAGUAGCCGACCUGAGAGGGUGAUCGGCCACAUUGGAACUGAGACACGGUCCAAACUCCUACGGGAGGCAGCAGUGGGGAAUAUUGCACAAUGGGCGAAAGCCUGAUGCAGCAACGCCGCGUGAGCGAUGAAGGCCUUCGGGUCGUAAAGCUCUGUCCUCAAGGAAGAUAAUGACGGUACUUGAGGAGGAAGCCCCGGCUAACUACGUG
rnacentral:rRNA from 1 species